AGUGAACGCUGGCGGUAGGCCUAACACAUGCAAGUCGAACGGAAGCAUCGUAAGUGCUUGCUCUUACGGGUGGAGAGCGGCGGACGGGUGCGGUUUACAUCGGAUUCUACUUUUUCGCGUGGGCUAACGUAGGGAGACUUACGCUAAUACCGGAUACGACCUACGGGUGACAGCAGGGGACUUUUGGACCUUGUGCGGUUGUAAGGGCCGAGGUCGGAUGAGCUCGUUGGCGGGGCAGAGGCCCUCCACGGCGACGCUCGGAAGCUGGUCUGAGAGGAUGAUCAGCCAGACUGGAAGUGAGACACGGUCCAGACUCCGACGGUAGGCAGCAGUGGGGAAUAUUGCACGAUGGGCGCAAGCCUGAUCCUGCCAUACCGCGUGGGGGAAGAAGGCCUCCGGGUGGGUAAAUGAUGAUGUUGGUAGAAAAAUGCAAUAGUUUAAUCCCCGGCGGUUCUGACGGUACCCAAAGAAUAAGCACCGGCUAACUUCGUG
rnacentral:rRNA from 1 species